AGAGUUUGAUCCUGGCUCAGGAUGAACGCUGGCGGCGUGCUUAACACAUGCAAGUCGAACGAAGCACUUCAAAAGCUUGCUUUUGAAGUGACUGAGUGGCGGACGGGUGAGUAACGCGUGGGUAACCUGCCUUUAUACAGGGGGAUAACAGUUGGAAACGACUGCUAAUACCGCAUAAGCGCACAGUGCCGCAUGGCACAGUGUGAAAAACUCCGGUGGUAUAAGAUGGACCCGCGUCUGAUUAGCUAGUUGGUGAGGUAACGGCUCACCAAGGCGACGAUCAGUAGCCGGCUUGAGAGAGUGAUCGGCCACAUUGGGACUGAGACACGGCCCAAACUCCUACGGGAGGCAGCAGUGGGGAAUAUUGCACAAUGGGGGAAACCCUGAUGCAGCAACGCCGCGUGAGUGAAGAAGUAUUUCGGUAUGUAAAGCUCUAUCAGCAGGGAAGAUAAUGACGGUACCUGACUAAGAAGCCCCGGCUAACUACGUGCCAGCAGCCGCGGUAAUACGUAGGGGGCAAGCGUUAUCCGGAUUUACUGGGUGUAAAGGGAGCGUAGGCGGCUUGGCAAGUCUGAUGUGAAAGCCCAGGGCUCAACCCUGGGACUGCAUUGGAAACUGUCAGGCUAGAGUGCAGGAGAGGUAAGUGGAAUUCCUAGUGUAGCGGUGAAAUGCGUAGAUAUUAGGAGGAACACCAGUGGCGAAGGCGGCUUACUGGACUGUAACUGACGCUGAGGCUCGAAAGCGUGGGGAGCAAACAGGAUUAGAUACCCUGGUAGUCCACGCUGUAAACGAUGAAUACUAGGUGUCGGGUCCGUCAAGGAUUCGGUGCCGCAGCUAACGCAAUAAGUAUUCCACCUGGGGAGUACGUUCGCAAGAAUGAAACUCAAAGGAAUUGACGG
rnacentral:rRNA from 1 species